GUAAUGACUACAUAGCAUUUACGUGGUAUCAGCUAUUACAACUAAUCUAGAGAUGAUUUAAGGUAUGCAGGAGGGUGUGUGGGUUCUGCACAAUACUAGGGCAGUCUAUAAAAGAGACCUGAGUCUGCUGAUUUCGGUGUCCAUGGGGGUCCUGAGACCACUCCCCCAUGGAUACAGAGGGGCUUCAACACUCCUGUGGGUACUCUGGCCUCUUGCCUUUUCCUCUGUGAAGUACUGAAGUCUACAACAGCUAGCGUGCAUUUCCACCGUGGUUCAGGGAUGCAAAAUCGCGUGGAGAAGUGCAGGGUUGGCACGGCCGAAGCAUAUCUGGACUUCAGGGGGAGAUCUGAAAAGCUCUCCUGAAAUAUGGAAAACAGAGACAGUCCGCUUACACAACAGGAAUUGGUGCCUCUUGUCUGCAGCAGUCACAGAACAGGCGUUCUCAGAGGUGAGCUGCAGCCUGUCACAUGGCUCGCUCUAUCAUCCCAGGCUUUCUCAACGACUUAAGAUUAGUUGAAGGCCUUCUUACCAACUUGCAGGUGAACAGAACUGCGAGCAGUGGCCAAGAUGUUGAAGGCAGAAAUGAGAUGCAAACCCACUUAAUAUUCAGAAUCAGCGGUCUCCAGUUCAUCAUCCAAUUAGAAUAUCAGCAGGUUAAGGAUCAACCACACAAGUGCAAGGUGGAGCUGUGGUCAUGUGGGAGUGACUCAUGAGUCCCUAUCCAGAGAGCAAAUGCACGCAAGUCAAUUCUGUGUUUUCAGGACUGACCAGGUGGCCGAGUACACAGUUCCCCUCAUUGUUCACAGGCCGUGUGAGUUUAGAAAUUUGUCUAUCUGGGGCCAGCGCCGUGGCUCACUUGGCUAAUCCUCCGCCUGCAGUGCUGGCAUCCCAUAUGGGCGCUGGGUUCUGGUCCCGGUUACUCCUCUUCCAGUCCAGCUCUCUGCUGUGGCCUGGGAAGGCAGUGGAGGAUGGCCCAGGUGCUUGGGCCCUGCACCCGUGUAGGAGACCAGGAGGAAGCACCUGGCUUCUGGCUUCGGUUCUGCAUAGCUCCAGCCAUGGCAGCCAUUUGGAGGGUGAACCAACAGAAGGAAGACCUUUCUCUCUGUUUCUCUCCCUCACUGUCUAACUCUGUCAAAAAGAAAAUAAAGAAAUUUGUCUAUCUGACA
rnacentral:lncRNA from 1 species